rnacentral:rRNA from 1 species
UGGGGAAUCUUCCGCAAUGGACGAAAGUCUGACGGAGCAACGCCGCGUGAGUGAAGAAGGUUUUCGGAUCGUAAAACUCUGUCUUUUGGGGCGAACGUGAGUAUGGUGAACAAUCAUAGUCAGUGACGGUACCAAAGGAGGAAGCCACGGCUAACUACGUGCCAGCAGCCGCGGUAAUACGUAGGUGGCAAGCGUUGUCCGGAAUUAUUGGGCGUAAAGAGCGCGUAGGCGGGAUAGUCAGUCUGUUGUAAAGUGCGGGGCUCAACCCCGUGAUGGCAAUGGAAACAGCUAUUCUUGAGUGCAGGAGAGGAGAGUGGAAUUCCCAGUGUAGCGGUGAAAUGCGUAGAUAUUGGGAGGAACACCAGUGGCGAAGGCGACUUUCUGGACUGUGUCUGACGCUGAGGCGCGAAAGCCAGGGGGAGCGAACGGGAUUAGAUACCCCGGUAGUCCUGGCCGUAAACGAUGGGUACUAGGUGUGGGAGGUAUCGACCCCUUCCGUGCCGGAGUUAACGCAAUAAGUACCCCCGCCUGGGGAGUACGGUCGCAAGACUGAAACUCAAAGGAAUUGACGGGGUCAUAGCUG